rnacentral:rRNA from 1 species
GGAGUUAGCCGGUGCUUCUUCUGUGAGUGAUGUCCUUCCUGCCGGCUAUUAACCCGCAGGCCUUCUUCCUCACUGAAAGUGCUUUACAACCCGAAGGCCUUCUUCACACACGCGGCAUGGCUGGAUCAGGGUUGCCCCCAUUGUCCAAUAUUCCCCACUGCUGCCUCCCGUAGGAGUCUGGGCCGUGUCUCAGUCCCAGUGUGGCUGAUCAUCCUCUCAGACCAGCUACGGAUCGUCGCCUUGGUGAGCCGUUACCUCACCAACCAGCUAAUCCGACAUAGGCUCAUCCGAUAGCGCGAGGCCCGAAGGUCCCCCGCUUUCCCCCGUAGGGCGUAUGCGGUAUUAGCCUGGGUUUCCCCAGGUUAUCCCCCACUACCGGGGCAGAUUCCUAUGCAUUACUCACCCGUCCGCCGCUCGCCACCAGGGAGCAAGCUCCCCGUGCUGCCGCUCGACUUGCAUGUGUUAGGCCUGCCGCCACGCGUUCAUCUGAGCCAGAAUACGAACCCGUCGA